rnacentral:rRNA from 1 species
GAUGAACGCUGGCGGCGUGCCUAAUACAUGCAAGUCGAGCGAACAGACGAGGAGCUUGCUCCUCUGACGUUAGCGGCGGACGGGUGAGUAACACGUGGAUAACCUACCUAUAAGACUGGGAUAAAUUCGGGAAACCGGAGCUAAUACCGGAUAAUAUAUUGAACCGCAUGGUUCCAUAGUGAUUGACGGUUUUGCUGUCACUUAUCGAUGGAUCCGCGCCGCAUUAGCUAGUUGGUAAGGUAACGGCUUACCAAGGCAACGAUGCGUAGCCGACCUGAGCGGGUGAUCGGCCACACUGGAACUGGGACACGGUCCAGACUCCUACGGGAGGCAGCAGUAGGGAAUCUUCCGCAAUGGGCGAAAGCCUGACGGAGCAACGCCGCGUGAGUGAUGAAGGUCUUCGGAUCGUAAAACUCUGUUAUUAGGGAAGAACAAAUGUGUAAGUAACUAUGCACGUCUUGACGGUACCUAAUCAGAAAGCCACGGCUAACUACGUG